rnacentral:rRNA from 1 species
AUACGGAGGAUGCAAGCGUUAUCCGGAUUUAUUGGGUUUAAAGGGUGCGUAGGCGGAUGAUUAAGCGUGAGGUGAAAUGCCACUGCUCAACAGUGGAACUGCCACGCGAACUGGUUGUCUUGAAUGCUCCUGCCGUGGGAGGAAUGUGUGGUGUAGCGGUGAAAUGCAUAGAGAUCACACAGAACACCGAUUGCGAAGGCAUCUCACGAAGGGGUGAUUGACGCUGAGGCACGAAAGCGUGGGGAUCAAACAGGAUUAGAUACCCUGGUAGUCCACGCAGUAAACGAUGAUAACUAACCGCUGGGUCGUAGUGAUUCAGUGGCCAAGCGAAAGCGAUAAGUUAUCCACCUGGGGAGUACGACCGCAAGGUUGAAACUCAAAUGAAUUGACGGGG